rnacentral:tRNA from 1 species
UGCGUGGUAGAGCAGUUGGUAGCUCGCCGGGCUCAUACCCCGGAGGUCGCUGGUUCAAAUCCAGCCCUCGCAACCA